rnacentral:rRNA from 1 species
GCGGGAUAGGGUUUGAUCAUGGCUCAGGAUGAACGCUAGCGCCCGGUCUAACACAUGCAAGUCGAGGGGUAACAGGAAAGCUUGCUUUUGCUGACGACCGGCGCACGGGUGCGUAACGCGUAUGCAACCUACCUCAUACUGGGGGAUAGCCCCUGGAAACGGGGAUUAAUACUCCAUAGUAUCACGAAUUCGCAUGUUUUUGUGAUUAAAGUUUUUCGGUAUGAGAUGGGCAUGCGUCCCAUUAGCUUGUUGGUGAGGUAACGGCUCACCAAGGCAACGAUGGGUAGGGGGCCUGAGAGGGUGGUCCCCCACACUGGUACUGAGACACGGACCAGACUCCUACGGGAGGCAGCAGUGAGGAAUAUUGGUCAAUGGAGGCAACUCUGAACCAGCCAUGCCGCGUGAAGGAUGACGGCCCUAUGGGUUGUAAACUUCUUUUAUAGAGGAAGAAACUUGUCUACGUGUAGACAACUGACGGUACUCUACGAAUAAGGAUCGGCUAACUCCGUGC